UGUAUUGGUAUUUGGCAGGGGCGCGGGUGGGAUGGAGAGGUCCCCUGCCACCGCCGGGGCGGCGUUCCAAGCCCCUCGGACAUCUGGGGUGCCCCGGCGCUUUCCCGUGCCGGGGCCCGGUGCCUCAGCCCCUCCUUACCCAUCCCAAAGCCAUCCCACCCCAGUGCUGGCCUGUGUCCCGCCGAGCUGGCAAGCGAAAACGUGCCCAGGUCGAGCCCCAAAGGCGGGUGCCGCAGCCCCGGCACGGCUGGUCCCGCAGGGAGGGGGGCGAGGGGCCGAUCUGCCGGGACGGGCGCACCCCGAGCGCACUGCGGGCCCAGCACCCCCGGCCGAGGGGCUCCUCGAGGGGCCCUUGAACCCCCCCAGCGCUCUGCCCCGUACCAGCCUCCAGCAGGGCCGGUGGCACUCGCGGCUGCCACGCACGGUUGCUUGCCAGCAGCAAACAGCAUGAGAUGAUGUCCUCUGGGCAAAGAGGGAGGAGUGGCUGAUGAAUCUCAAUAAAGCUGGGAAGACUAACCACUGGGAAGCUGAUGCAGAAUUUGAGCUGAAGUAUACAACCCACACCUUUACUUUUCUUUCAUGGACUAAUGUCAGCCAGGGAGGAAUUUGCAGGGCUGUAGUCCAACCCCCUGCUCAAAGCUGGACAGGCUUCAAAAUCUGAUGAAGUUGCUCAGUGCCUUGCCCAGAUGGACUUCUUGCUGCAACCUGUGACCCUAGACACAUGUCCUUGCAUCCUGCACCUUGUUUGGCUCUGUGCUUUCCAGCAGUUACUCUCCACAGCACACCCCACGUACCAGGCACACCAUGAUCAGUGAGGAGUGUUCUCCAGCAGACAGCUGUGGGCAGGGGCUCAGAGAUGGCACCACAGCUGGGACUGUGCCACCACACAAGGCUUAAACCCCAGGACUGGGCACUUUACCUACUUGCACCCAGGCAUUUGAUGCUGCCCCCAGAAACAUGGCACUCCUGGAGGGUACCCAGAUUGUCACGCUGCUGCACCACACACCACUUUCCCUGUUCUCACAGCACUGAAAACACUUCUGUAAAGAUGUGCAAAGCAGAGGCUGGAACUCUUAAAACAAAUUAACACAACACGAUCUGGACUGGCCUUCAGAAAAAACACAGUAAGCUUUUAGGUGCAGGAGCUGCCAGGCAGAGCACUGGGACCAGAAGUUAGGAGUCCCUUAUGCCUCUAAGCUCUUUCUGCAGGCAGGGAGAGACAAUUUUGUAUUUGCUUCUUAAAUAAACUGGGCACCUCUCCAA